GGUUGUUUUCAGGUGAGGCACCCCAGAAUUGGGCUCCCUCCUCUCUGGUUCCAGGUGUGUCACCUGAGAACCGCC
rfam:Myotis lucifugus cont2.16162, whole genome shotgun sequence.